GGGAGCCGUAUGAGGUGGGAGCCUCACGUACGGUUCUGGGAGCGCCUCGGGGUGAAACUCCCCGGGGCGACUCACC
rnacentral:ncRNA from 1 species